CCUACGGGAGGCAGCAGUGGGGAAUCUUGCGCAAUGGGCGAAAGCCUGACGCAGCGACGCCGCGUGGGCGAAGAAGGCCUUCGGGUUGUAAAGCCCUGUUGGGGGGGAAGAAGGAGUGACGGUACCCCCUGAGGAAGCCCCGGCUAACUCCGUGCCAGCAGCCGCGGUAAGACGGAGGGGGCGAGCGUUGUCCGGAAUCACUGGGCGUAAAGGGCGCGUAGGCGGCCUUUUAAGUCGGUUGUGAAAGCCCCGGGCUCAACCUGGGGAGGCCAGCCGAGACUGGGAGGCUUGAGUGCAGGAGAGGGAAGUGGAACUGCCGGUGUAGCGGUGGAAUGCGUAGAUAUCGGCAGGAACACCCGCGGCGAAGGCGGCUCCCUGGACUGCGACUGACGCUGAGGCGCGAAAGCCAGGGGAGCGAACGGGAUUAGAUACCCCUGUAGU
rnacentral:rRNA from 1 species